CACGUAGUUAGCCGGGGCUUUCUCCUCAAGUACUGUCAACACUUUAAUCUCUUCGACUAAUGUGAUUUCAUUCUUGAGAACAGAGCUUUACAAUCCGAAGACCGUCUUCACUCACGCGGCGUUGCUCCGUCAGGCUUGCGCCCAUUGCGGAAAAUUCCCUACUGCUGCCUCCCGUAGGAGUCUGGGCCGUGUCUCAGUCCCAGUGUGGCCGAUCACCCUCUCAGGUCGGCUACGCAUCGUCGCCUUGGUAGGCCUUUACCCCACCAACUAGCUAAUGCGCCGCGGGCCCAUCUACUAGUGAUAGCUAACGCCAUCUUUCUCCUCUUCCUCAUGCGAGGAAGAGGUCUAUCCGGUAUUAGCCCCGGUUUCCCGGAGUUAUCCCAGGCUAGUAGGCAGGUUACCCACGUGUUACUCACCCGUUCGCCGCUCGAUCCACACCCGAAGGUGCUUCUCGCGCUCGACUUGCAUGUAUUAGGCACGCGCCAGCGUCUCCUGCGCAGGA
rnacentral:rRNA from 1 species